rnacentral:rRNA from 1 species
GACGAACGCUGGCGGCGUGCUUAACACAUGCAAGUCGAGCGGUAAGGCCCUUUCGGGGGUACACGAGCGGCGAACGGGUGAGUAACACGUGGGUGACCUGCCCUCAGCUCUGGGAUAAGCCUGGGAAACCGGGUCUAAUACUGGAUAUGACUCCAUGACGCAUGUUGUGGGGUGGAAAGCCUUGUGCGGCUGAGGAUGGGCCCGCGGCCUAUCAGCUUGUUGGUGGGGUGANGGCCUACCAAGGCGACGACGGGUAGCCGGCCUGAGAGGGCGACCGGCCACACUGGGACUGAGACACGGCCCAGACUCCUACGGGAGGCAGCAGUGGGGAAUCUUGCGCAAUGGGCGAAAGCCUGACGCAGCGACGCCGCGUGAGGGAUGACGGCCUGGUUGUAACUACUUCUA